rnacentral:rRNA from 1 species
GAUGAACGCUGGCGGCGUGCCUAAUACAUGCAAGUCGAGCGAACAGACGAGGAGCUUGCUCCUCUGACGUUAGCGGCGGACGGGUGAGUAACACGUGGAUAACCUACCUAUAAGACUGGGAUAACUUCGGGAAACCGGAGCUAAUACCGGAUAAUAUAUUGAACCGCAUGGUUCAAUAGUGAAAGACGGUUUUGCUGUCACUUAUAGAUGGAUCCGCGCCGCAUUAGCUAGUUGGUAAGGUAACGGCUUACCAAGGCAACGAUGCGUAGCCGACCUGAGAGGGUGAUCGGCCACACUGGAACUGAGACACGGUCCAGACUCCUAAGGGAGGCAGAAGUAGGGAAUCUUCCGCAAUGGGCGAAAGCCUGAAGGAGCAACGCCGCGUGAGUGAUGAAGGUCUUCGGAUCGUAAAACUCUGUUAUUAGGGAAGAACAAAUGUGUAAGUAACUAUGCACGUCUUGACGGUACCUAAUCAGAAAGCCACGGCUAACUACGUG